UACAGGGGGUGCAAGCGUUACUCGGAUUUACUGGGCGUAAAGAGCGUGUAGGUGGUUUGUUAAGUCUGGUGUGAAAUCCCUGGUCUCAAACCAGGAAGUGCAUUGGAUACUGGCAGACUAGAAUAUAGGAGGGGUGAGCGGAAUUCCCGGUGUAGAGGUGAAAUUCGUAGAUAUCGGGAGGAACAACAGAGGCGAAGGCGGCUCACUGGACUAUUAUUGACACUAAGGCGCGAAAGCGUGGGGAGCAAACAGG
rnacentral:rRNA from 1 species